CGGAAACACGGUGCCGGAUAACGUCCGGCGGGGGCGACCCUAGGGAAAGUGCCACAGAAAGGAAACCGCCCCGCUUGCUGUACCGCUUUCGACAAAGCGGCAGAGCUAGCGGGGUAAGGGUGAAAGGGUGGGGUAAGAGCCCACCGCGCUUCUGGUAACAGCGGCGGCAAGGUAAACCCCACCGGGAGCAAGACCGAAUAGGGAUGACACGGGCCACGUGAAAACGCGGCUACAGCCUGUUUCCGGGCCAGUCAUCCGGGUGGGUUGCGUGAGGCGGCAUGCAAAUGUCGUCCCAGAUGAAUGGCUGCCACGUUCCGGUGCUUGCACCGGGG
rnacentral:misc_RNA from 1 species